UCGUCUUAUCUUAGGGAAAAAGUGGUUCUUUUCUGUCUUUGUAUUGCUUGCUCUGGGGGGUUUCCCCACAGAAAUUAUUGAAGAAUCAUCUUUUUGUAUACAUAUACAUCCAGGAUGUGAAACUCGAAGGAAAUCACCGUCAUAGGGCGGCAAUAUGGAACCUACUUACAUUGGCAUUUUUCGGCUUGUUUGCUUAUCUUGUAUGAUGAUCAGAAUGGUAGACCCCUACACCCACCUCUUUUGCUGUCAAUUCAUCAAUGCUCAUCGCACACGCCUAUUCGUCGUGCUAAAUGUUCACACUGAAAAGUGUUUGCGUAAUUGGGUUAUGUGGUGGUAGGUUACGAGUAAUUCUUCUAUGUGACCGUCGUACUAUCACAAAAAAGAACGUUUGGACCUAAAAAUAUUUGUAGACCCCUACAACAAGAAAGGCGGUCGUGGUAAAGAAUUUUUUUCCAUAGAGGAAAUGAAGCACAUUUUUAAUUCUAAACAAAUGCUUUUGCUUUUGCUUUAUAAAUUAAUACGUGUAUGUGUAUCGAACAUCAAUAUUGUGGGGUUUGGAUGUGGGUGGUUUACAA